GACGAACGCUGGCGGCGUGCCUAAUACAUGCAAGUAGAACGCUGAAGGAGGAGCUUGCUCUUCUGGAUGAGUUGCGAACGGGUGAGUAACGCGUAGGUAACCUGCCUGGUAGCGGGGGAUAACUAUUGGAAACGAUAGCUAAUACCGCAUAACAGUAGAUGUUGCAUGACAUUUGCUUAAAAUGUGCAAUUGCACCACUACCAGAUGGACCUGCGUUGUAUUAGCUAGUUGGUGGGGUAACGGCUCACCAAGGCGACGAUACAUAGCCGACCUGAGAGGGUGGACGGCCACACUGGGACUGAGACACGGCCCAGACUCCUACGGGAGGCAGCAGGAGGGAAUCUUCGGCAAUGGACGGAAGUCUGACCGAGCAACGCCGCGUGAGUGAAGAAGGUUUUCGGAUCGUAAAGCUCUGUUGUAAGAGAAGAACGAGUGUGAGAGUGGAAAGUUCACACUGUGACGGUAUCUUACCAGAAAGGGACGGCUAACUACGUG
rnacentral:rRNA from 1 species